rnacentral:rRNA from 1 species
CGUCUGAUUAGCUAGUUGGUGUGGUAACGGCACACCAAGGCUACGAUCGGUAACUGGUCUGAGAGGAUGAUCAGUCACACUGGAACUGAGACACGGUCCAGACUCCUACGGGAGGGCAGCAGUGAGGAAUAUUGGGCGAAUACUCGAAAGAGUGACCCACGCAACGCCGCGUGGAGGAGUGAAGGUAUUCUAUAUCGUAAACUCCUGUGAGAGCAGACGAAAGACAGAUUAUUAAUCUGGAUGACUGUAUGCUCAGAGGAAGCCCCGGCUAACUACGUG